rnacentral:rRNA from 1 species
UUGGAGGGCAAGUCUGGUGCCAGCAGCCGCGGUAAUUCCAGCUCCAAUAGCGUAUAUUAAAGUUGUUGCAGUUAAAAAGCUCGUAGUUGAAUUUCGGGAUUGACGUGACGGUCAUGCCUUAAGGGGUAUGAACUGUUACUGUUGAUUUCUCACCUUCUGGAGAAACUUGAUGUCCUUUAUUGGGUGUCUUGCGGAUCCAGGACCUUUACCUUGAAAAAAUUAGAGUGUUUAAAGCAGGCAUUUUUGCUCGAAUACAUUAGCAUGGAAUAAUAGAAUAGGACGGCAUGGUUCUAUUUUGUUGGUUUCUAGGAUCACCGUAAUGAUUAAUAGGGAUAGUUGGGGGCAUUAGUAUUCAAUUGUCAGAGGUGAAAUUCUUGGAUUUAUUGAAGACUAACUACUGCGAAAGCAUUUGCCAAGGAUGUUUUCAUUAAUCAAGAACGAAAGUUAGGGGAUCGAAGACGAUCAGAUACCGUCGUAGUCUUAACCAUAAACUAUGCCGACUAGGAAUCAGACGAUGUUAAUUUUUUAAUGACUCAUUCGGCGCCUUACGGGAAAC